AGCUGAGGCCUCCCACCAACAGCCACAUGAGGGAGCCAGAGUAGGAGUGGCUCCUCCAGCCCCAGUCGAACCUUCAGAUGUGACAGACUUGGCUGCUGACAGUUUGCAAUCUCAUGAGACCCUGAGCCAGAACCACCCAGCUAAAUCAGUCCUGGACUCCUGAUCAACAGAAAUGGUGUAGACCAAAGAGAGGCGUUUUGAACAUUAAGACGCUUUGCUGCUUCUCACCUGAAACACGUAACAGGAACACCAACCUCUUCAGCCGCGGGAAAUCUUCUUUGACACAAAACUCAAACCGAGUCAACCCAAAGUUCCAAGUUCUUUGCUUUCUCUUCUGUGUGUGUGUUGGUUUGUCCCAAAAGUCAGUUUGCAAGUUGAAACUUCAUGAAAUUACUCGUAGCAGAAAUAAAGUACAUUGUACAAAUCA
rnacentral:lncRNA from 1 species